GAUCCAUGGCUCAGGAUGAACGCUAGCGACGGGCUUAACACAUGCAAGUCGAGGGGCAGCACAGGUAGCAAUACCGGGUGGCGACCGGCGCACGGGUGAGUAACGCGUAUGCAACUUGCCUAUCAGAGGGGGAUAACCCGGCGAAAGUCGGACUGAUACCGCAUGAAGCAGGGGCCCCGCAUGGGGAUAUUUGCUAAAGAUUCAUCGCUGAUAGAUAGGCAUGCGUU
rnacentral:rRNA from 1 species